UUCGACCCGUCUGCAAAUAAAUCAUAGGAUGAUCUAUUUAAAUUGGUUUAUCGAAUAAUAAAUUUUAAAAACUUUAGUGGCUAGUCUUUGAAUUAAAAUUAAUUUAUCUUUUAAUUCGUUUUUUUUAAAAAUUGUUGAUUUAUAAAUAUUAAAUACAAAUAAUUGAUAUUUAUAAAUCAAUAAUUUUCAUUUUUAAAAAAAUGUUUAAAAAAUUAAUGUAAUUUUAAUUUGAUAGUAAGAGGCAUUGAUUUUUUUUUAUAACUUAUUAAAAUGUCAACUUAUUUCUUUUCAUAGAAGAAUUGUUGUUUUAUAAAUUUCAAUAGUGUCUUUAGAUUUUGUGCAUUGUAUAUAAAAUUUGAUUUGGUAUUUAUAGAUUAACUUGUAAUAGGUUGCAAUGUUCGCGAGUUUCGUGACUGCUUGCUUCAUAUCAUGUUGUUUGGGGGAUGAAGUGGUUCUAAAUAAACACCUUUGUGAACUAACCUUGUGCGCUUACAUGGGAGGUAAAAAAAUCAUUAAAAAAAUAUUUUGUUGUUUUUGAGAGAUCGCACUUAUGCUUUUGUUUUUUAUUUAUUUAAUGCUCUACCACGCAUCUCAACACUCAUUGCCGAAGAUUUAUCAUUACACUGGAUUUUCUUGUCACUUACCAAAUAAGGUAGUACUAUAUAUCAGUUUACGUUCAACUUUUAUAAUUGGUCAGCAGGUUUAAUUAAACCAAGUGAUGCAUAAAUUGAGAACCGCAUUUGGAUAAAUUAACUUUGUGUUUAUGGCGAAUGUAAUUGUGGAUAGAUUAUAACUGCUUUAUAUUUACUCAAUUAAAUUAAGUUUUGAUUCCAAUCUUAAUGAUGUUGUAUGUUCAAUAAUUAUGUUAUCAGUUAAGGUAAUUGGUGUUUUGGUAU
rnacentral:lncRNA from 1 species